UAGCUCAGUGGUAGAGUGCUUGCCUUGCAUGCAUGAGGCCUUGGGUUCAAUUCCCCA
rnacentral:tRNA from 1 species